UACUUUCAAAAUCUUUUUCAGCUUUCUGAAACAAAAGUCUUCACUGCUUCCUCUGUUCCAACUGAGAAUCAUGUGAUUCCUGAGCAAAGCAUUGAUUUGGUGGCAUUGCUUCAAAAGACUGUGACCUCCACUCAAGAGACAGAAGGCAACUCAUUUGAAGCUCCUCAGCAGCAGACUUUUGGCCAAGCCCUAGUCUUCACAAAUACUCAGCACAGCUCUCAGAUGGUAUCAGGAACUGGCAGUUCCAGUGCUGUAAACUCCUGUUCUUCUCAGAGUCUGUCUGCAGUUCUUUCUUCUGGCUUUGGAGAACUUGGAUCCUCUAAAUUGGCAAACUCUACUGGAUCCCAAAUUUUGGAACAACUAAAAUCCCCAGAUCUGGGUCAGUUUACCUCUCAACAAAACAAUAGUAACUCUACCAAUGCUACCAUAACUGCCGCAUCAUCUUGGAGUCUAAAACCACCCAUUACUCAGUCCUCAGUCAUCAGUC